rnacentral:rRNA from 1 species
AUUAAAUUUUAUUUAUUAAAAUAAUUUUUUUUUUAUUUUAAUUUAUUAAAAAUAAUUAUAUAAUUAAUAGUUUUAGUAUUGUUUAAAGAAUAAAUAAUUUUUAUUAUAGUGUAUUAGUAUUGUGAAAGAAAAUUGAAAUAUAUUGAAAAAUUUUUAUUAUAAAAGAAAAUUUAAUUUAUUGUACCUUUUGUAUCAGGGUUUAUCAAAUAAACAAUAAAAAUUUAUUUUUCUCGAUUUUAAAAGAGUUAAUUAAUUUAUAAAGUUAAUGUGAUAAAAUUAUUUUAAAAAAUUAAUUAGAAAUGAAAUGUUAUUCGUUUUUAAAGGUAUCUAGUUUUUUAAGAAAUGAAUUUAAUUCAUAAAUUUUAAAUUAUUUAUUUAAUUAUUUAAUUAAAUAAUUUUUUAAUUUAAAUAUUUUAUGGGAUGAGCUAUAAAAUAUUUUUAAAAAAUUUUAAAUAUAUAUUUAAUAAAUGUAAGCUUAGAAUUAGUUAUCAUUAAUAAAUUUGUUAUAAAUUAUUUUUUUUGUUAUAUUAUUUAUUUUAUUUUUAUUUUUUAUUAAAAUUUUAAUUUUAAUUUUUAAAAUUAAAUAAUAAUGAUAAAAUUAGUAUAUUAUUUUUGUAUAAAUAUAUUUUUAUGAAAAGUUUUUAUAAAGAACUUGGCAAAAUUUAUAUUCGCCUGUUUAACAAAAACAUGUCUUUUUGAAUUUUUUUUAAAGUCUGACCUGCCCAAUGAAUUUUUAAUGGCCGCAGUAUUUUGACUGUGCAAAGGUAGCAUAAUCAUUAGUUUUUUAAUUGAAGGCUGGAAUGAAUGGUUGGACGAGAUAUAAGCUGUUUCAUAAAAAUUUAUAGUAGAAUUUUAUUUUUUAGUCAAAAAGCUAAAAUUUAUUUAAAAGACGAGAAGACCCUAUAAAUCUUUAUAUUUUGUUUAUUUAAUUUAUUUAGAAUUUAUUAAUUUUAAUAAUUUAAAAUAUUUUAUUGGGGUGAUAUUAAAAUUUAAUAAACUUUUAAUUUUUGUUAAACAUUAAUUAAUGAAUUAUUGAUCCGUUUAUUACGAUUAAAAAAUUAAGUUACUUUAGGGAUAACAGCGUAAUUUUUUUGAAGAGUUCAUAUCGAUAAAAAAGAUUGCGACCUCGAUGUUGGAUUAAGAUAUAAUUUUAGGUGUAGAAGUUAAAAUUUAAGUCUGUUCGACUUUAUAUUCUUACAUGAUCUGAGUUCAAACCGGCGUAAGCCAGGUUGGUUUCUAUCUUUAGAAAAUUAAUAUAUUUUAGUACGAAAGGACCAAAUAUGUAAAUAAUUAUAUUUUUAAAAAGAAUUUUAUUAAUAUU